rnacentral:rRNA from 1 species
UAGUGGCGGACGGGUGAGUAACGCGUGGGUAACCUGCCUUGUACUGGGGGAUAACAGUCAGAAAUGACUGCUAAUACCGCAUAAGCGCACAGAGCUGCAUGGCUCAGUGUGAAAAACUCCGGUGGUAUAAGAUGGACCCGCGUUGGAUUAGCUAGUUGGCAGGGCAGCGGCCUACCAAGGCGACGAUCCAUAGCCGGCCUGAGAGGGUGAACGGCCACAUUGGGACUGAGACACGGCCCAGACUCCUACGGGAGGCAGCAGUGGGGAAUAUUGCACAAUGGGGGAAACCCUGAUGCAGCGACGCCGCGUGAAGGAUGAAGGUUUUCGGAUUGUAAACUUCUUUUAUUAAGGACGAAUUUUGACGGUACUUAAUGAAUAAGCUCCGGCUAACUACGUGCCAGCAGCCGCGGUAAUACGUAGGGAGCAAGCGUUGUCCGGAUUUACUGGGUGUAAAGGGUGCGUAGGCGGCUUUGCAAGUCAGAUGUGAAAUCUAUGGGCUCAACCCAUAAACUGCAUUUGAAACUGUAGAGCUUGAGUGAAGUAGAGGCAGGUGGAAUUCCCGGUGUAGCGGUGGAAUGCGUAGAUAUCGGGAGGAACACCAGUGGCGAAGGCGACCUACUGGGCACCAACUGACGCUGAGGCUCGAAAGCAUGGGUAGCAAACAGGAUUAGAUACCCUGGUAGUCCAUGCCGUAAACGAUGAUUACUAGGUGUUGGAGGAUUGACCCCUUCAGUGCCGCAGUUAACACAAUAAGUAAUCCACCUGGGGAGUACGACCGCAAGGUUGAAACUCAAAGGAAUUGACGGGGGCCCGCACAAGCAGUGGAGUAUGUGGUUUAAUUCGAAGCAACGCGAAGAACCUUACCAGGUCUUGACAUCCGAUGCAUAGUGCAGAGAUGCAUGAAGUCCUACGGGACAUCGAGACAGGUGGUGCAUGGUUGUCGUCAGCUCGUGUCGUGAGAUGUUGGGUUAAGUCCCGCAACGAGCGCAACCCUUAUUGCCAGUUACUACGCAAGAGGACUCUGGCGAGACUGCCGUUGACAAAACGGAGGAAGGUGGGGAUGACGUCAAAUCAUCAUGCCCUUUAUGACCUGGGCUACACACGUACUACAAUGGCGUUUAACAAAGAGAAGCAAGACCGCGAGGUGGAGCAAAACUCAGAAACAACGUCUCAGUUCAGAUUGCAGGCUGCAACUCGCCUGCAUGAAGUCGGAAUUGCUAGUAAUCGAGGAUCAGCAUGCCGCGGUGAAUACGUUCCCGGGCCUU